GACAGAGGUGCCGAGCGUUAGGCGGAAUCACUGGGCUUAAAGCGUGUGUAGGCGGAUGGGUAAGUACCUUGUGAAAUCCCACGGCUCAACCGUGGAACUGCUCGGUAUACUGCUCGUCUUGAGCCAACUAGGGGCGACCGGAACAAACGGUGGAGCGGUGAAAUGCGUAGAUAUCGUUUGGAACGCCGAUGGUGAAAACAGGUCGCUGGGGUUGUGCUGACGCUGAGGCGCGAAGGCGUGGGGAGCGAACGGG
rnacentral:rRNA from 1 species